rnacentral:snRNA from 1 species
AUGCUCGCUUCGGCAGCACAUAUACUAAAAAAUUGGAAAGAUACAGAGAAGAUUACCAUGGCCCCUGCACAAGGAUGACACGCAAAUUCGUGAACCGUUCCAUAUUUUU